UACGUAGGGAGCGAGCGUUGUCCGAAUUUACUGGGCGUAAAGCGCACGUAGGCGGACUAUUAAGUUGGUGGUGAAAUGCCGAGGCUCAACCUCGGAACUGCCUCCAAAACUGUUAGUCUUGAGGUAUGGAGAGGGAACUGGAAUUCCAGGUGUAGCGGUGAAAUGCGUAGAUAUCUGGAGGAACACCCAUGGCGAAGGCAGGUUCCUGGCCAUAUCCUGACGCUGAGGUGCGAAAGCUAGGGGAGCGAACGGGAUUAGAUACCCCGGUAGUCCUAGCCGUAAACGAUGGAUACUAGGUGUUAGUGGUAUCGACCCCACUAGUGCCGGAGCUAACGCAUUAAGUAUCCCGCCUGGGGAGUACGGCCGCAAGGUUG
rnacentral:rRNA from 1 species